CCUACGGGAGGCAGCAGUGAGGAAUAUUGGUCAAUGGGCGCGAGCCUGAACCAGCCAAGUCGCGUGAAGGAUGACGGUCCUAUGGAUUGUAAACCUCUUUUGUCGGGGAACAAAGUCGGGGACGUGUCCCGUCCCGUAUGGUCCCCAUGGAUAAAGCAUCGGCUAACUCCGGGCCGGCGGCCGCGUUAAUACGGAGGAUCCGGGCGUUAUCCGGAUUUAUUGGGUUUAAAGGGUGCGUAGGCGGGCUUUUAAGUCAGCGGUAAAAAUUUGGGGCCCAAACCCGGCCGGCCGUUGAACCUGGGGGCCUUGAGUGGGCGAGAGGUAGGCGGAAUGCGUGGUGUAGCGGUGAAAUGCAUAGAUAUCACGCAGAACCCCGAUUGCGAAGGCAGUGUGCCGGAGCACGACUGACGCUGAGGCACGAAAGUGCGGGGAUCGAACAGGAUUAGAUACCCGAGUAGUC
rnacentral:rRNA from 1 species